AGAAUCAACGCUGGCGGCGUGCCUAACACAUGCAAGUCGAACGAGAAAGUGGGAGCAAUCCCACGAGUAAAGUGGCGCACGGGUGAGUAACACGUGACUAACCUACCCUUGAGUGGGGGAUAACCUAGGGAAACCUGGGCUAAUACCGCAUAAUACCUACGGGUCAAAGGAGCAAUUCGCUUAAGGAGGGGGUCGCGGCAGAUUAGUUAGUUGGCGGGGUAAUGGCCCACCAAAGACAGUGAUCUGUA
rnacentral:rRNA from 1 species